GGAGGUGGAAAGGGGCCCAGCUUUGCACUGGGGCAUUCCUGCAGAGUUCAGCUUCUUUUCUCCAGCAGCAUGACAGGAGGUGGGCUAUAACGUCCCUUCCAGCUCAGGCCCAAUGGUGGAACCCAUUAUGGAGUGGGAAGGAGUACUUGGCUACAACCUAUCUUAGCCAUUUCCCAAAAAAGCUCAUGGCUGAGUAAGAACCCCUGUGGCAUCUGACCCUGGUUGGCAGAGAUCAGAGGCGUGGUUCUUCACCAGCUCCCUCCCUGAAGGUAUCUAGGAGGAAACGGAUGAUUUGGGAGAAUAGUGGGAGAGGUGUCCUGCUUAUCUACUCCUAGAAAAGACACAAAAACCUGUGUGAUCCUUUUUCAGUGUUACAGGUACACCCUACUGUUCCUCAUUGAGAAAUUUCACCAGAUCCAGUGCCUGUUCAUUAUCUUAUGGGUGCCUCUGCAGCACAUGUAUACCAUAUUCCUCUUAGAAUCUGCCUUGUGCUAUUCUUGUCAACAACACAAUUUCUGGGACA